rnacentral:rRNA from 1 species
AUUGAACGCUGGCGGCAUGCCUUACACAUGCAAGUCGAACGGCAGCGCGGGAGCAAUCCUGGCGGCGAGUGGCGAACGGGUGAGUAAUACAUCGGAACGUGCCCAAUCGUGGGGGAUAACGCAGCGAAAGCUGUUCUAAUACCGCAUACGAUCUACGGAUGAAAGCAGGGGAUCGCAAGACCUUGCGCGAAUGGAGCGGCCGAUGGCAGAUUAGGUAGUUGGUGAGGUAAAGGCUCACCAAGCCUUCGAUCUGUAGCUGGUCUGAGAGGACGACCAGCCACACUGGGACUGAGACACGGCCCAGACUCCUACGGGAGGCAGCAGUGGGGAAUUUUGGACAAUGGGCGAAAGCCUGAUCCAGCCAUGCCGCGUGCAGGAUGAAGGCCUUCGGGUUGUAAACUGCUUUUGUACGGAACGAAACGGUCUUUUCUAAUAAAGAAGGCUAAUGACGGUACCGUAAGAAUAAGCACCGGCUAACUACGUG